UACGAAGGGGGCUAGCGUUGUUCGGAAUCAUUGGGCGUAAAGAGCUCGUAGGUGGCGGGUCACGUCGGGUGUGAAAGCCCGGGGCUUAACUCCGGGUCUGCAUUCGAUACGGGUCUGCUGGGGUCCGGCAGGGGAGACUGGAAUUCCUGGUGUAGCGGUGAAAUGCGCAGAUAUCAGGAGGAACACCGGUGGCGAAGGCGGGUCUCUGGGCCGGUACCGACGCUGAGGAGCGAAAGCGUGGGGAGCGAACAGG
rnacentral:rRNA from 1 species